UACGUAGGGUGCAGGCGUUAAUCGGAAUUACUGGGCGUAAAGCGCACGCAGGUGGCUGAGUCAGUCGAUUGUGAAAGCCCUGGGCUUAACCUGGGAAUUGCAGUCGAUACUACUCGGCUCGAGUAUGGGAGAGGGCAGUGGAAUUCCCGGUGUAGCGGUGAAAUACGUAGAGAUUGGGAAGAACACCAGUGGCGAAGGCGGCUAUCUGGACGGUUUCUGACACUAAGACACGAAAGCGUGGGGAGCAAACAGG
rnacentral:rRNA from 1 species